GAGACACCCCUAUGGAGCAGGACUUGCGUCAGUGGGGCUUUGGUGCUCACUGAGUCGGCCCUGGAGUGUGUCGCU
rfam:Myotis lucifugus cont2.5490, whole genome shotgun sequence.